rnacentral:rRNA from 1 species
UUCCGGUUGAUCCUGCCAGAGGUUACUGCUAUCGAGGUUCGACUAAGCCAUGCGAGUCGAAUGUAGCAAUACAUGGCGAACUGCUCAGUAACACGUGGACAACCUGCCCUUAGGACGGGGAUAAACCCGGGAAACUGGGUAUAAUACCCGAUAGGUCUCGAUUGCUGGAAUGCAUCGAGAUUUAAAGCUCCGGCGCCUAAGGAUGGGUCUGCGGCCUAUCAGGUAGUAGUGGGUGUAGCGUACCUACUAGCCUACGACGGGUACGGGUUGUGAGAGCAAGAGCCCGGAGAUGGAUUCUGAGACAUGAAUCCAGGCCCUACGGGGCGCAGCAGGCGCGAAAACUUUACAAUGCGGGGAACCGCGAUAAGGGGACACCGAGUGCCAGCAUCCUAUGUUGGCUGUCCAUAUGUCUAAAUCACAUGUGUUAGCAAGGGCCGGGCAAGACCGGUGCCAGCCGCCGCGGUAACACCGGCGGCCCGAGUGGUGGCCACUAUUAUUGGGUCUAAAGGGUCCGUAGCCGGUUUGGUCAGUCUUCCGGGAAAUCUGACGGCUCAACCGUUAGGCUUUCGGGGGAUACUACCAGGCUUGGGACCGGGAGAGGUAAGAGGUACUACGGGGGUAGGAGUGAAAUCUUGUAAUCCCUGUGGGACCACCAGUGGCGAAGGCGUCUUACCAGAACGGGUCCGACGGUGAGGGACGAAAGCUGGGGGCACGAACCGGAUUAGAUACCCGGGUAGUCCCAGCUGUAAACUAUGCUCGCUAGGUGUCAGGGACGGUGCGACUGUUUCUGGUGCCGCAGGGAAGCCGUGAAGCGAGCCACCUGGGAAGUACGGUCGCAAGGCUGAAACUUAAAGGAAUUGGCGGGGGAGCACCACAACGGGUGGAGCUUGCGGUUUAAUUGGAUUCAACGCCGGAA